AGGGGGGACGGAGAAGGCUAUGUUGGCCGGGCGACGGUUGUCCCGGUUUAAGCGUGUAGGCUGGUUUUCCAGGCAAAUCCGGAAAAUCAAGGCUGAGGCGUGAUGACGAGGCACUACGGUGCUGAAGUAACAAAUGCCCUGCUUCCAGGAAAAGCCUCUAAGCAUCAGGUAACAUCAAAUCGUACCCCAAACCGACACAGGUGGUCAGGUAGAGAAUACCAAGGCGCUUGAGAGAACUCGGGUGAAGGAACUAGG
rnacentral:rRNA from 1 species